rnacentral:rRNA from 1 species
UACGAAGGGAGCUAGCGUUGUUCGGAAUCACUGGGCGUAAAGCGCACGUAGGCGGAUGUGUCAGUCAGGGGUGAAAUCCCGGAGCUCAACUUCGGAACUGCCUUUGAUACAGCACAUCUGGAGUCCGGAAGAGGUGGGUGGAAUUCCUAGUGUAAAGGUGAAAUUCGUAGAUAUUAGGAAGAACACCGGUGGCGAAGGCGGCCCACUGGUCCGGUACUGACGCUGAGGUGCGAAAGCGUGGGGAGCAAACAGG